ensembl:snoRNA SNORA70 Small nucleolar RNA SNORA70
CUUCAGCUAAUUAAGGUAACCAGAUCAUGGUAUGCAGUGGUUGCAAAUAGCAGCCUCCUUGGAAGUGGUUCCUAAAUGGGUUUCCCUAUAGGACCUUGGGAGUCUAUU